AAAGUCGUAACAAGGUCUCCGUUGGUGAACCAGCGGAGGGAUCAUUACCGAGUUUACAACUCCCAAAACCCCAGUGUGAACGUUACCGACCCGUUGCCUCGGCGGGCCUCCCCCCCCUUCCGCCCCGGGCGCGCUCGCAGCCCCGGGACGGAAGGGGCGCCCGCCGGAGGACCAACCCUUCAAACACUCUCUUGCCGGAUCCCCUCGCGGAUCUCCUUAUUGCUUCUGAGCUUUCUCGGCGCCCCCCAGCGGGCGCUUCGAAAAUGAAUCAAAACUUUCAACAACGGAUCUCUUGGUUCUG
rnacentral:misc_RNA from 1 species